CAGCCGCCACGGUAAUACGUAGGUGGCAAGCGUUGUCCGGAAUUAUUGGGCGUAAAGGGCUCGCAGGCGGUUUCUUAAGUCUGACGUGAAAGCCCCCGGCUCAACCGGGGAGGGUCAUUGGAAACUGGGAAACCUGAGUGCAGAAGAGGAGAGUGGAAUUCCACGUGUAGCGGUGAAAUGCGUAGAGAUGUGGAGGAACACCAGUGGCGAAGGCGACUCUCUGGUCUGUAACUGACGCUGAGGAGCGAAAGCGUGGGGAGCGAACAGGAUUAGAUACCCCCGUAGUCCCUGUCUCUUAUAC
rnacentral:rRNA from 1 species